GACGAACGCUGGCGGCGUGCUUAACACAUGCAAGUCGAACGAUGAAGCUGGAGCUUGCUCCGGUGGAUUAGUGGCGAACGGGUGAGUAACACGUGAGCAAUCUGCCCUUGACUCUGGGAUAACUGCGGGAAACUGUAGCUAAUACCGGAUACUUUCACUGGAAGGCAUCUUCUGGUGAAGAAAGAAUUUCGGUCAAGGAUGAGCUCGCGGCCUAUCAGCUUGUUGGUGAGGUAACGGUUCACCAAGGCGACGACGGGUAGCCGGCCUGAGAGGGUGACCGGCCACACUGGGACUGAGACACGGCCCAGCCUCCUACGGGAGGCAGCAGUGGGGAAUAUUGCACAAUGGGCGCAAGCCUGAUGCAGCAACGCCGCGUGAGGGAUGAAGGCCUUCGGGUUGUAAACCUCUUUUAGUAGGGAAGAAGCGAAAGUGACGGUACCUGCAGAAAAAGCACCGGCUAACUACGUGCCAGCCGCCGCCGUAA
rnacentral:rRNA from 1 species